rnacentral:rRNA from 1 species
UACAGAGGUGCCAAGCGUUAGGCGGAAUCACUGGGCUUAAAGCGCGUGUAGGUGGACGGGUCAGUAUCUUGUGAAAUCCCACGGCUCAACCGUGGAACUGCUGGAUAUACUGCUUGUCUUGAGGCACUUAGGGGCAGCUGGAACAAAUGGUGGAGCGGUGAAAUGCGUAGAUAUCAUUUGGAACGCCAAAGGCGAAAGCAGGCUGCUGGGAGUGAUCUGACACUGAGACGCGAAAGCCAGGGGAGCAAACGGG